AUUGAACGCUGGCGGCAUGCCUUACACAUGCAAGUCGAACGGCAGCACGGGGCAACCUGGUGGCGAGUGGCGAACGGGUGAGUAAUGCAUCGGAACGUACCUUUCAGUGGGGGAUAACGUAGCGAAAGUUACGCUAAUACCGCAUAUUCUGUGAGCAGGAAAGCAGGGGAUAGCAAGACCUUGCGCUGAUUGAGCGGCCGAGGUCAGAUUAGCUAGUUGGUGAGGUAAAGGCUCACCAAGGCGACGAUCUGUAGCGGGUCUGAGAGGAUGAUCCGCCACACUGGAACUGAGACACGGUCCAGACUCCUACGGGAGGCAGCAGUGGGGAAUUUUGGACAAUGGGGGCAACCCUGAUCCAGCCACGCCGCGUGAGUGAAGAAGGCCUUCGGGUUGUAAAGCUCUUUCGGCCGGGAAGAAAUCGCACGGGCUAAUACCCUGUGUGGAUGACGGUACCGGAAUAAGAAGCACCGGCUAACUACGUGCCAGCAGCCGCGGUAACAC
rnacentral:rRNA from 1 species